UACAGAGGUGGCAAGCGUUGUUCGGAAUUACUGGGCGUAAAGGGCGCGUAGGCGGUUUGGCAAGUCGGGUGUGAAAACUCCGGGCUCAACUCGGAGACGCCACUCGAUACUGCCAUGACUUGAGUCCGGUAGGGGAGUGCGGAAUUCCUGGUGUAGCGGUGAAAUGCGCAGAUAUCAGGAGGAACACCGGUGGCGAAGGCGGGUCUCUGGGCCGAUACUGACGCUGAGGAGCGAAAGCGUGGGGGAGCGAACAGG
rnacentral:rRNA from 1 species